rnacentral:rRNA from 1 species
UGAGGAGUAUUGGUCAAUGGGCGAGAGCCUGAACCAGCCAAGUAGCGUGCAGGAUGACGGCCCUAUGGGUUGUAAACUGCUUUUAUGUGGGGAUAAAGUGCGUGACGUGUCAUGCAUUGCAGGUACCACAUGAAUAAGGACCGGCUAAUUCCGUGCCAGCAGCCGCGGUAAUACGGAAGGUCCGGGCGUUAUCCGGAUUUAUUGGGUUUAAAGGGAGCGUAGGCUGUCUAUUAAGCGUGUUGUGAAAUUUACCGGCUCAACCGGUGGCUUGCAGCGCGAACUGGUCGACUUGAGUAUGCAGGAAGUAGGCGGAAUUCAUGGUGUAGCGGUGAAAUGCUUAGAUAUCAUGACGAACUCCGAUUGCGCAGGCAGCUUACUGUAGCAUAACUGACGCUGAUGCUCGAAAGUGCGGGUAUCAAACAGG